rfam:Micromonospora sp. HK10 genomic scaffold Scaffold14, whole genome shotgun sequence.
CUUGAUCGAACCGAGCCAGAGCGGCUGGUCGCGGUCCUGGCCGUAGGUGGCGAGCAGGGCCUGGGCCUC